rnacentral:rRNA from 1 species
CCUACGGGAGGCAGCAGUGAGGAAUAUUGGUCAAUGGGCGAGAGCCUGAACCAGCCAAGUCGCGUGAAGGAUGACGGCCCUACGGGUUGUAAACUUCUUUUGUCAGGGAGCAAUUGGGUCCACGCGUGGGCUUAGCGAGAGUACCUGCAGACAAAGCAUCGGCUAACUCCGUGCCAGCAGCCGCGGUAAUACGGAGGAUGCGAGCGUUGUCCGGAUUUAUUGGGUUUAAAGUGUGCGUAGGUGGAAGAUCAAGUCAGCGGUAAAAAUUCGGGGCUCAACCCCGUCGUGCCGUUGAAACUGAUGUUCUGGAGUGGGCGAGAAGGAGGCGGAAUGCGUGGUGUAGCGGUGAAAUGCAUAGAUAUCACGCAGAACUCCGAUUGCGAAGGCAGCAUACCGGCGCCCAACUGACGCUGAAGCACGAAAGCGUGGGUAUCGAACAGGAUUAGAUACCCGAGUAGUC